rnacentral:rRNA from 1 species
UACGUAGGGCGCAAGCGUUGUCCGGAAUUAUUGGGCGUAAAGAGCUCGUAGGCGGUUUGUCGCGUCUGCCGUGAAAGCCCGGGCUUAACUCCGGGUCUGCGGUGGAUACGGGCAGACUAGAGGCAGGUAGGGGAGAACGGAAUUCCCGGUGUAGCGGUGGAAUGCGCAGAUAUCAGGAGGAACACCGAUAGCGAAGGCAGCUCGCUGGGACGGUACUGACGCUGGAGGCGCGAAAGCGUGGGAGCGAACAGG